rnacentral:misc_RNA from 1 species
CAAAACCUUAAGCACAUCUUCAGCUGUUCCGAGUAACUAUCAAAGGCCUCCUCCCUCUAGUUACCAGGAUGAGAGAAACCCUAAUGGCCACUGGAACCAUGGCAAUUCUAAUCAGUGGGGCUCACCCCAGGGCCAGAGUAACCCUAAUCAGUGGCCCUCUCAAGGCGGAAGGAACCAUAUUCAAUGGAAUGAACAGACCCAGACCCAGCAACAACUUCCUCAACAUAUGAACUCUGCCAAUAGUCAGUUCAAAUACCAAAAUUUUAAACAGAAUAAUGGCAAUAGGGGAUACCCUGUAUCAUUUGCUCAACAAGAACC